AUGGUUGAUGAUGAAGUUUUUUUUUAAUUUUCUUUGUUUAAAUAUUCUAUAAGCCAUUUGUAUGGAAGGAUAUUAGUUACGUUCUUUCUACUCAUGUGUGAGUGCUUACUUCUGAUGUUGUGAUUGUCAUUGAGUCAGCUGAAUAUUUGGUUUCUUUUGUGCCUUUUAUGGGGAUGAUUAUCUAGUUUUUUUUAUUAUUUGGUUGCAAUCCCUUAAAGGCUGGAUAAUAUGUCUCCAUCCUUUAUCCAUUUAUUGAAAAUAGUGGGAGUAAAAAUUCACUUACUUUACACUUACAUUCUGGAUUU
rnacentral:lncRNA from 1 species